GACGAACGCUGGCGGCGUGCUUAACACAUGCAAGUCGAACGGAAAGGCCCUGCUUUUGUGGGGCGCUCGAGUGGCGAACGGGUGAGUAACACGUGAGUAACCUGCCCUUGACUUUGGGAUAACUUCAGGAAACUGGGGCUAAUACCGGAUAGGAGCUCCUGCUGCAUGGUGGGGGUUGGAAAGUUUCGGCGGUUGGGGAUGGACUGGCGGCUUAUCAGCUUGUUGGUGGGGUAGUGGCUUACCAAGGCUUUGACGGGUAGCCCGCCUGAGAGGGGGACCGGCCACAUUGGGACUGAGAUACGGCCCAGACUCCUACGGGAGGCAGCAGUGGGGAAUAUUGCACAAUGGGCGGAAGCCUGAUGCAGCAACGCCGCGUGCGGGAUGACGGCCUUCGGGUUGUAAACCGCUUUCGCCUGUGACGAAGCGUGAGUGACGGUAAUGGGUAAAGAAGCACCGGCUAACUACGUG
rnacentral:rRNA from 1 species